rnacentral:lncRNA from 1 species
UUUCACUUGAAAGUACAAUGAUGUGAUAGAAUGAAAAGAAAGUACAACACUAUAAUAUACAAAUAAAAGAAAGUAUGUUUUUUUUUUUUUAAAUUGUUUUUUGAAUUGGCGAAAGGUAAGGAAAAGAUGGACUAUACUUAUGCACCUGGAAGGAAUCAUUUGUUUGUUCCGGGACCCGUGAACAUCCCGGAUCAAGUACUUCGUGCAAUGAACCGAAACAAUGAAGACUANACUUGAAAGUACAAUGAUGUGAUAGAAUGAAAAGAAAGUACAACACUAUAAUAUACAAAUAAAAGAAAGUUGUUUUUUUUUUUUUAAAUUGUUUUUUGAAUUGGCGAAAGGUAAGGAAAAGAUGGACUAUACUUAUGCACCUGGAAGGAAUCAUUUGUUUGUUCCGGGACCCGUGAACAUCCCGGAUCAAGUACUUCGUGCAAUGAACCGAAACAAUGAAGACUAUCGGUCUCCAGCAGUUCCCGCUUUGACUAAAAUUUUACUUGAAGAUGUGAAGAAGAUUUUCAAAACCACUUCGGGGACCCCUUUUCUCAUCCCAACUACAGGUAUAUUAUUUUCUUUUCUCUAGGGUUAAAUAUCAACAUAUAGUUACUUAUUGCAAUAUUUUGGGUUAGGUACGGGUGCAUGGGAAAGUGCACUUACAAACACCUUGUCUCCUGGAGACCGAAUUGUGUCAUUUGUGAUUGGACAAUUCAGUUUGCUUUGGGUGGAUCAACAGCAACGACUUGGGUUCAAUGUUGAUGUGGUG